rnacentral:tRNA from 1 species
GGCCUCGUAGCUCAGUUGGCUAGCGAGUUUGCUGUACUAAAGCCUUCCCCUUGAUGGCGUGGGUUCGAAUCCCACCGAAGCCG